CCUGCGGAGGGAUCAUUAA
rnacentral:rRNA from 1 species